rnacentral:snRNA from 1 species
GGAAGUAAAAGAUCUGUCACCCCAUUGAGUGCUAGGGUUGAUUUGACUCUGACUGACUAGGUGAGUGACCCCUCCCCUCACCGCUCCAUGUGCGUCCCUCCCAGAGCUUCGUGCACAGUUGCAGGUGAUGACCUUCUGCCAUGAGGAGGAGAGCUGGCCUUCGGCCAAAGGCUAUGCAAGUAGCUGCAUUCCCCAGCUAGCAUCUUCCCACACGCUCUAAAGGGGGUUGCUUGGUUCACACCCUCUACUAAAGUCAGAGCU